rnacentral:rRNA from 1 species
UCAUAACUGGGGCNCGAUGAAAGGCAGAUGAAAACAAACCGGCGNAGCUACGCGCCAAUGGAAUNCAUAUAGACACGAGCCCGUAUNGGGUUUGUNGGCGUGGAGUGCAGUGGCGCACCACAAAGAUAAAAAUGACUNUCGGCAAUGGAUAUNUCGGCUCUCGCAUCGAUGAAGAGCGCAGCGAAAUGCGAUACGUGGUGCGAAUUGCAGAAUCCCGCGAACCAUCGAGAAUUUGAANGCAAGUUGCGCCCGAGGCCAGCCGGCCAAGGGCACGUCCGCCUGGGCGUCAAGCGUUACGUCGCUCCGUGCCAGCUCCCUCCACCCAANGGGUGUUUNCGGGGAAGGGUCGGAUGUGCAGAGUGGCUCGUCGUGCCUGCGUGCGCGGCGGGCUCAAGAGCGGGUGAUCGUCUCGUUAAUCACAAACAACAAGGGGUGGAUGAAAAUUGUGCCUGUGUUGUAUUGUGCUGGCUUGAGAAGAGAUUAUACCCAACGGAUGAUCCCAGUCUAAGCGUCGUACCACGGACGUCGGCUUGGAAUGCGACCCCAGGAUGGGCGA